AACGAACGCUGGCGGCAGGCCUAACACAUGCAAGUCGAGCGCCCCGCAAGGGGAGCGGCGGACGGGUGAGUAACGCGUGGGAACGUACCUUUUGCUUCGGAAUAGCCUCGGGAAACUGGGAGUUAUACCGAAUGUGCCCUACGGGGGAAAGAUUUAUCGGCAAAAGAUCGGCCCGCGUUGGAUUAGGUAGUUGGUGGGGUAAUGGCCUACCAAGCCGACGAUCCAUAGCUGGUUUGAGAGGAUGAUCAGCCACACUGGGACUGAGACACGGCCCAGACUCCUACGGGAGGCAGCAGUGGGGAAUCUUAGACAAUGGGCGCAAGCCUGAUCUAGCCAUGCCGCGUGAGCGAUGAAGGCCUUAGGGUUGUAAAGCUCUUUCGUGGGGGAAGAUAAUGACUGUACCCCAAGAAGAAGCCCCGGCUAACUCCGUGCCAGCCGCCGCGGUAAGAC
rnacentral:rRNA from 1 species